AGCCACUUAAACUCACAAAAAUAACUGCUGUGUUAGCAGUUCAGAGCAGUUUCUUGUGGUGGUUUUAUCAACUGGUGGUUACCUCUACCUCUUCCUACCCAUGUUCACGGCAGUUUCAGUAAGAAGUUAUGCACUCUCUCUCAUAGAAUCGUACUGUUACUUUAUAUUAAGGACAGUUCUUGCAUUAUCAAAACCACGUACCCACGUAUGCAAUCCACAACCACCUCCUGUGAACCCUUAUAUAAACACACAAGUUGUGAAAUUGGAGAAUAUCACAAAAAUCCCCCCAUCUUUCUCUACUUUCGGCUGCACUCGAGGUAUAAAAGGAAGAUCAAUUGAACUUGAUCGUCGCUGGCUCCUCCACAUGAGGGUUUCUACAAAUGCAUCAGGGUUGGGCUUUGCCACUCGAUCUGCCGUUUUUGAUGGCUUUUUGUUAGCCCUAAUUCGAAGUCUGAUUCUUCUUAUGUGCAACCAGGCUCGAAGUCUGAUUCUUCUUCACCGUCGUCUUUGUUUGAUCCAUAUAAAAAAACGAGAGCUGGAAGUGAUUGUUAUCCAGACAGAGUCACUUAGAACUAUCAAAGCUGGAAAUGGAUGUGAAAACGAAGGAAAAAUUCAUUUCGGUGUUAAUUUUGAGAAGUUUGGUGGACCAGAACAAACACAAUUUCAUCCAGCCUACAUCACACAUGGCUAACUGAACUAUAUGUAAUCAUUAACGAAUAAGUAGGCCACGGUCAGAGAAAAUAGUUCGGGUAAUAUUCAGUCAUGGUACCGACACAUAACACGCGGAGGGUGGCCAUUUUCUACUCCAGAUAAUGGAUGGUUGGCCUGUAUCUGAUUGCACAGCAGAAGCUUUGAAGUGUUAAUGCUUUCACAAAUGCCGUAUGACAUGGUUGGAGAAGCAAUAGCACCAGAAUGUCUGUAUGAUGCUGUUCAUUUGCUUCUAACACUUCAGGGGAAAUCAUGAAAAUAGGCAAGUUCACCAAGACUUUAACAAAAUAGGUGCAUUUUUUGUGGGCUAAAAAGGUGCUUGAAAGUUGAAAGUGGGAGUCUGGGUUAAAAAGUAGGGCAUGAAUACAUGGAAGAUCAUUCAGGUGUAGUGAAUCAGCUCUGGCAGAUGAAGGGCUAUUCGUGUUGCAAGUAGGGAAGCAAACAUCCAUCAGAGCUGCAGACACCUGAACCAACAGAUAUAUGUACUAUUAUGUACACAAGUGGCACCAAUGGAGAUCCAAAAGGUGUUGUCUUGACUCAUGAAAAUGCUAUAACAAAUAUAAAUGGGGUUGAUCUUUUCAUGGAACAAUUUGAGGACAAGGUACUAAAUCUUUUUCUUUGACUUUGCUUGUGUUGACUUUGGAGAUAUAUGAUUAUAGAUGACCGAAGAUGAUGUUUAUUUAUCCUUCCUGCCUCUCGCUCACAUUCUUGAUCGUAUAAUUGAAGAAUACUUUUUUCGUAAAGGUGCUUCUGUUGGCUUCUUCCACGGGGAUAUAAAUGCUUUAAGAGAUGAUAUGAUGGAGCUAAAACCAACAUUUUUAGCUGGAGUACCUCGCGUUUUGGAACGGAUUUACGAAGGUCUCAGGAACUUAGCUGUUGUCGGCUGGUCACCCGUCGACAUUUUUUAAUUAUCUUCCUGAUGCUUCUUUGCUUCUUUGGUUUAACAGUUGACCCAAGAUUACUAAUGUACACUUAAGUAUAAAUUUAUUUUUUUAGGUAUAAGGACCUUUUGGUAGUAGGUUUCAUCUCCAACGGGUAAAAUGGGUUGCAAAUCGCAUAUUAAA